GAUGAACGCUGGCGGCGUGCCUAAUACAUGCAAGUCGAGCGAACAGACGAGGAGCUUGCUCCUCUGACGUUAGCGGCGGACGGGUGAGUAACACGUGGAUAACCUACCUAUAAGACUGGGAUAACUUCGGGAAACCGGAGCUAAUACCGGAUAAUAUAAUGAACCGCAUGGUUCAAUAGUGAAAGACGGUUUUGCUGUCACUUAUAGAUGGAUCCGCGCCGCAUUAGCUAGUUGGUAAGGUAACGGCUUACCGAGGCGACGAUGCGUAGCCGACCUGAGAGGGUGAUCGGCCACACUGGAACUGAGACACGGUCCAGACUCCUACGGGAGGCAGCAGUAGGGAAUCUUCCGCAAUGGGCGAAAGCCUGACGGAGCAACGCCGCGUGAGUGAUGAAGAUCUUCGGAUCGUAAAACUCUGUUAUUAGGGAAGAACAAAUGUGUAAGUAACUAUGCACGUCUUGACGGUACCUAAUCAGAGAGCCACGGCUAACUACGUG
rnacentral:rRNA from 1 species